rnacentral:rRNA from 1 species
UCUUGGUCAUUUAGAGGAAGUAAAAGUCGUAACAAGGUUUCCGUAGGUGAACCUGCGGAAGGAUCAUUAAAAAAGAUACGAGGUUGUCCCUCGGCAUGAGUACGCCCCCCACUGGCCCCGGCUUCAUGCUGGCCGACUGUGGGGGAUACACAUCCACCCUGUGUGAAACACCUGUUGCUUUGGCAGCUCUUCUCGCGAAGGUCAGUCUGUCAAAAGCUCAAAAGAAACUCUUUGUUUAUAAACAUGGUCGUAAAAGAAAUGAAAAUUCUUUAAAACUUUCAACAACGGAUCUCUUGGUUCUCGCAUCGAUGAAGAACGCAGCGAAACGCGAUAGGUAAUGUGAAUUGCAGAAUUCAGUGAAUCAUCGAAUCUUUGAACGCACAUUGCGCCUUUUGGUAUUCCGAGAGGCAUGUCUGUUUGAGCGUCAUUACAAACCCUCAAGCUUAGCUUGGUGUUGAGCCCCUCUUUCCGGCUCUAAUGUGGUACGCUUGCGGGCUCUCCCAUGAUUACAACGUAGUAAAACUUCUUUCGUUGUGUUGGAAGGGGAGCCUCGCCUGAAAUCAAAUCUCAGAGUUUGACCUCAGAUCAGACAAGGAUACCCGCUGAACUUAAGCAUAUCAAUAAGCGGAGGAAAAGAAACCAACAGGGAUUGCCUUAGUAACGGCGAGUGAAGCGGCAACAGCUCAAAUUUGAAAUCUGAUGUCUUUUGACGUUCGAGUUGUAAUUUGAAGAGGAAUCUUCGGUUUGGACCACGGCCCAUGUCCCUUGGAACAGGGCGUCGUAGAGGGUGAGAAUCCCGUCGUCGGCUGAUGGUCUCUUUCCAUGUGAAGUUCCUUCGAAGAGUCGAGUUGUUUGGGAAUGCAGCUCUAAACGGGAGGUAAAUUUCUUCUAAAGCUAAAUAUUGGCGAGAGACCGAUAGCGCACAAGUAGAGUGAUCGAAAGAUGAAAAGCACUUUGAAAAGAGAGUUAAACAGUACGUGAAAUUGUUGAAAGGGAAGCGCUUGCAAUCAGACUCGUCUCCGGUGGAUCAACGUUCCUUCUGGUUCGUGCACUCCGCCUCUGACGGGCCAGCAUCGGUUGCGGCGGCGGGACAAAGACCUUGGGAAUGUGGCUCUCUUCGGGGAGUGUUAUAGCCCUCGGUGCAAUGCCGCCUGCCGCGAUCGAGGACCGCGCUUCGGCUAGGAUGCUGGCGUAAUGGUUGUAAGCGACCCGUCUUGAAACACGGACCAAGGAGUCUAACAUCUAUGCGAGUGUUUGGGUGUCAAACCCAUACGCGUAAUGAAAGUGAACGGAGGUGGGAGCCGCAAGGUGCACCAUCGACCGAUCCUGAUGUUCUCGGAUGGAUUUGAGUAGGAGCAUAGCUGUUGGGACCCGAAAGAUGGUGAACUAUGCCUGAAUAGGGUGAAGCCAGAGGAAACUCUGGUGGAGGCUCGCAGCGGUUCUGACGUGCAAAUCGAUCGUCAAAUUUGGGUAUAGGGGCGAAAGACUAAUCGAACCAUCUAGUABCUGGUUCCUGCCGAAGUUUCCCUCAGGAA